rnacentral:rRNA from 1 species
UACGUAGGGCGCAAGCGUUGUCCGGAAUUAUUGGGCGUAAAGAGCUCGUAGGCGGUUUGUCGCGUCUGCUGUGAAAACCUGAGGCUCAACCUCGGGCUUGCAGUGGGUACGGGCAGACUAGAGUGCGGUAGGGGUGACUGGAAUUCCUGGUGUAGCGGUGGAAUGCGCAGAUAUCAGGAGGAACACCGACGGCGAAGGCAGCUCGCUGGGACGGUACUGGACGCUGAGGCGCGAAAGCGUGGGGAGCGAACAGG